rnacentral:misc_RNA from 1 species
UUUCCGCAGGUGAACCUGCGGAAGGAUCAUUAAUGUGUUUGGGCCUCACGGCUCUUCAUUCCGACGCUGUGCGCCUUCGGGCUGCACGCUGAGGGAGCAUAUAUCCACCCCUGUGCACACACACGGUGGCGAGCUGGGUAACGGCUCGCCGCUGAUCUUUACACACGUCUAAAAGUCAUUGUAUGUUUAUUUGAGAUAAAAACACAACUUUCAGCAACGGAUCUCUUGGCUCUC